rfam:Acetobacterium bakii strain DSM 8239 contig_34, whole genome shotgun sequence.
GAGUAUAAUGACGUUAAUUAAAUAAUGAACUUGUCCUAUAUUCAAGGGAAAAAGGUGUAAAUCCUUUGCUGUAAUCGCAGCUGUAAUGCAUGAUGACUGUCUCGAGACCACUGUUAAGAAAUUAAUGGGAAGGGAGACAGAAAAUUGAUUGUUGAGCCAGAAGACCUGUAUGUAGUGAAUUCUUAAA